CCUACGUGCGGCAGCAGUGGGGAAUAUUGGACAAUGGGCGAAAGCCUGAUCCAGCCAUGCCGCGUGUGUGAAGAAGGCCUUCGGGUUGUAAAGCACUUUCAGUGGGGAAGAAAGCCUUGGGGCUAAUACCCUCGAGGAAGGACAUCACCCACAGAAGAAGCACCGGCUAACUCCGUGCCAGCAGCCGCGGUAAUACGGAGGGUGCGAGCGUUAAUCGGAAUUACUGGGCGGAAAGCGCGCGUAGGCGGUCUGAUAAGCCGGUUGUGAAAGCCCCGGGCUCAACCUGGGAACGGCAUCCGGAACUGUCAGGCUAGAGUGCAGGAGAGGAAGGUAGAAUUCCCGGUGUAGCGGUGAAAUGCGUAGAGAUCGGGAGGAAUACCAGUGGCGAAGGCGGCCUUCUGGACUGACACUGACGCUGAGGUGCGAAAGCGUGGGUAGCAAACAGGAUUAGAUACCCCAGUAGUC
rnacentral:rRNA from 1 species